rnacentral:rRNA from 1 species
UGGGGAAUUUUGGACAAUGGGCGAAAGCCUGAUCCAGCAAUGCCGCGUGUGUGAAGAAGGCCUUCGGGUUGUAAAGCACUUUUGUCCGGAAAGAAAUCCUUGGCUCUAAUACAGUCGGGGGAUGACGGUACCGGAAGAAUAAGCACCGGCUAACUACGUGCCAGCAGCCGCGGUAAUACGUAGGGUGCAAGCGCUAAUCGGAAUUACUGGGCGUAAAGCGUGCGCAGGCGGUUUGCUAAGACCGAUGUGAAAUCCCCGGGCUCAACCUGGGAACUGCAUUGGUGACUGGCAGGCUAGAGUAUGGCAGAGGGGGGUAGAAUUCCACGUGUAGCAGUGAAAUGCGUAGAGAUGUGGAGGAAUACCGAUGGCGAAGGCAGCCCCCUGGGCCAAUACUGACGCUCAUGCACGAAAGCGUGGGGAGCAAACAGGAUUAGAUACCCUGGUAGUCCACGCCCUAAACGAUGUCAACUAGUUGUUGGGAUUCAUUUCCUUAGUAACGUAGCUAACGCGUGAAGUUGACCGCCUGGGGAGUACGGUCGCAAGAUUAAAACUCAAAUGAAUUGACGGGGUCAUAGCUGUUUCCU